rnacentral:lncRNA from 1 species
UAUGACUAUCACAGUUUGGCUCCGAUCUUCCUUUCUUCAACCUCUUUAUUUUACCAAAAGAUGGACCGUCGGCCAACAGAUUCCAAAGGUUAUGAUCCUUCGAAUUCUUAACCAUUUAUUCUACUAACAACCUAUUGUUACCAACUAAAUUGCCUAACCAUCAGUCUAAUUCUCAAGGUUAUCAAUAACCAACCAGUAACUUACCACGAAGUUUAUUUA